GCGCCGCGCCGCACUGCACUCGGCCCGCGGGGAGGACGCAGCUCGGACCAGCUGAACCUCUUGUUGGUUUUAUACCGAGUCGACGUCAUCCUGGAUUUAGUUCCUGCCGCGUAGGGUCUGGACACUACUAUACAGUCCCUACCUAGUUCCUAAUACAACGAAGACCAAAUUCAACCACUAUUUUAGAAUUCACCACCGAGCGUAGCACCUUGAGUGUCGGUCCCAGCUGGACUCCCAGAGCCCCGGGCAAAGGUGGCCGUGCUCCCCAGAGGUGACCGCCGUGAUUUGCGGCGACUUUGGGGUAGCACGGCAGGAGACAGGGAACCCACCACUGCGUGCAGGCGGCUGCGCACCCGAGAAAAGGUAGGCGACGGGCAACACCGAGCUAAAGUAGUUCCCCACCCCCACCGCCGCCCGAGGUGCUUGGCCAAGGCACAAGUCCUCGAGCUGGCACAGCUGGCUUUGCGCUGGCUGCUCUGGCCACUCCAGCAGAUGAAGCAUGCAGUGAGACUGAAGAGUGACUGCGCAGGGCCGGCGUGGGGGACACCUCGGGCUCCUCAAGGAAGGCCGCCUUCACUCCUGCCUGGUGUUCCCGACUUCUCUCUCUGGCUAAUAAGCGCGCGCACACACACAGGGCGCCCGCAGAGUUGUCUAGAGUCCCUGCAGCAGGGGUGCUUGUGCUGCAGCCUCCCCAGCGCUGGGGAAAAGAGGAACACAGUGAACUUGAGCCACAGGUUCCGGCCUGGGUGCGCAGAACCACUGGUGCAACUGGGCAGCAGCAUUUUUUGCAGGCCUUAACUCGGUCCUCUGGGUCCAAACGCCCACCUGAUCGGUCAUUUGUAGCCUAGGAGACUGGGUUCUAAGCCAUGCAAACUCGCGUGGCUGUUAGGGAACGAUUAGGACACAAUGGGGAUGAGCCUCAGUUUGGACUUAAAAACACAAAACAAUAAAAACUGCUCAAGAAGGGAGUGUAACCCUCUCCUUCAGAGAUGCCAGGUCUGUGGCAAAACUGGGUGCCCCUCUCGACCUGCUACCUAGGGAGGGAGGCACUUUUCUCCUUUGCAGACUCCUAGGAGUCACCGGGAUGCAAGGCACAGUCCUGGCCGCCAGCCCUUCGCAGCUUCAGUCCUUGGGCAAGUGAUGGAAGGGAACUGAAGCCUUGGAACCUCGGCCAGCCUUUGUGACGGUGGCAGGGUGUGCUGCCCUCUGCUCAGAGUGGAUCUUGUAAGACUUUCGCCAGAGUCUGAAGUUAACUGGCAAACUGCUGUGGGAUGUUUGGGGCCAUCCCCAUCUGUCCAGUUUUGCAAGGGGUGCUUCAGAGCAACACUGGCCCGAGUGCUCAGCCCUGGACCCAAAAGAGGGCCUGCAAGAUUUUAAAAAUGUAAAAAUCCUCACCCGCGCGGCGCUGUGUGUACCCUCCCUGUGGUACAUUGUUCUUAACCGUCAGAUCCAUGAAAGCCGUAGCCAGCGUCUCUUUGCUGCAGCCGCCUCGCUGUACAUGCGGCUCUGGAGGGACAGACGCUGUGCAUGCCUGUGAGUGUCGGAUCUGAAAACUGAUCAGGCAAAUUUGAAGGCCUCAAGAUUUUAUUUAUUUAUUUUUGGCAAUUGAACUUGGGACCUUUGCAAUGAGGUAUAUCCCCAGCCCCAUUUUUAUUUUUUGACACAGGGUCUUCCCCAAGUCUAUAGGCUGGGCUCCUAACUUGUGGCCCUCCUGCCCCAGCCUCCCAGAGAGCUAGGAUUUGCAGGCAAAGGCUACCAGGCUGGGUUUCCAAGAUUUUAAUAGAUUGAACCAAGUCUGGCCUUCAUCGGAUCCCUUUCAGCCCUAAUACUGUGAGAGUGACGGUCACCGGCAGGCCAAGUUAGAUUACAGGUGGACCUGGGGGCCCUUUCUUGUUCUUUAUUUUAGGAGGAAGAAGGGUGAGGUCCCCACCCCUGCCCCCAGCCUGGGGCAAGGUCUGUGGAAGAGCUAGGUCCCAGAUAAGAAAAAGGGAAUCUGCUGGCUCUUUCCUUGCUGAGGGAACUUUCCAGAAAGGGUUCAGGGGACCUGGAGCCCCACACACUUUUCUCACUCCAGGGAACUCACCCCCCACGUGUAUUGGUACCUCUCCCAUCCUCUGCAACCUCCAACUGUGGGCUAAACGCUGUUCUGGGGACGCAGAAGCUGGGGAAAGCAGCCCAGGUUUCUGCGCCCCGCUAAGCCUUUUCAGCAGCGGACCCCCACAAGUGUUCCAGGGACAGACGCGCUACACAGUCUCGCCCUGG